CUUCCCUCUUUCUGCCUGCCUUUCAUGUUUCUUUUGUGCUCCGUUUCUUCUGUUUAGUCCUUUAUUGUUUCUAAACGAAUAGGACCUUUACAAGCAACACCAAAACUGAAUUGGGUUUGGGUUUUAUUCUCAACCUUUUGGCUUUUCUGGGUUCCAAAUGCGCACUAGUUGAUGCUGAACUGAUUACUGAAACUACAAAGUAGCAGACGACGUACACCUGUUCUGUGAAGAAAAUUUAUGACAACUAUGGAUGUCAAAGGUAUAAACUGGGUUGGGUGUGUGUACGAGAAAUUUGAAUCUAUGUGCUUGGAGGUGGAAGAAAAUAUGUACCAGGACACAGUUAAAUUUGUUGAAGAUCAGGUACAGACUGUUGGGGAGAGUGUUAAAAAGUUCUAUGCAGAUAUAAUGCAAGAUUUGCUCUGUGACUCUUCAUUGGAUGGAGAUAAUAUAUCAGCUUGUGGUUUUCCUAUUGAACAUUAUUCAGAUGUUGAUAAUUCUAAGAAAUCAAAGAUUAGAAAAACGAAAGAACAUGUAAAGGUUGGUGUUGAAGAAGUAAAUGGGGAUUCAGAGGUGAUUUCUGUUGUGGAGAAGAAUGUGGAACAUACAGGAUUGUUUCAUAGACAGCGCGUGUAUGAUUCUUGCACAAGAUCCUCAGGUGAUUGUGCUAAAGUAGCAUGCUCUGACUUGUACUCAAGACAAGACCAUGGCAUGAGAAGCUAUAUCAAUAAAAUUUGGUUGUCAAACAAACUCCUAUCAAGGACAGAUUGCCAGGGGCAAAUACUGCUGUUGGAAAAGAUUUUAACAGAGUAUCACUAUCAUGCAGCGAAUUUUCAAAUGAAAACCAUGACGCUUCAUGUGACCAACCAGAUGAAGUUAUAACUCCUACAGUGGAAGGUAUGAGAUGUGAUUCCAUGAGGGAAAGAUGUGUGGUUGCGAAUGCUAGCCAAUGUACAGAUGAUGUUUCAAUUAACUGCCAAUCAUCUGAUUUGAUUGUUUUGGAUAAAUCUGAUGGAAAAAGAUGGAAUGAACUGUUAGAGUCAUCGAUUGGUGGGUUAUCAGCUGAAUCAAAUGGUGGAUCUAAUAUCUCCAGUGUGCAUGGAACGGAAAUCAGUCAACAAUCUGACAAGGCAAAGCUCGAGGAAACUUGUGUGAUGGUCAGUGGUGAAGAACUUCAUUUUGUUCAUCACAUGGUAGCCAACUGUAAGCCUUACAAG